rnacentral:ncRNA from 1 species
AGUCUUCGGGGCAGGGUGAAAUUCCCGACCGGCGGUGAAAGUCCGCGAACUCUCGCGCAGCGGGGGCCGAAUCGGUGCAAUUCCGAUACCGACAGUACAGUCUGGAUGAUAGAAGACG